rnacentral:rRNA from 1 species
AAUGGGGGAAACCCUGAUCCAGCCAUGCCGCGUGAACGAUGAAGGCCUUCGGGUUGUAAAAUUCUUUUGGCAGGGACGAUGAUGACGGUACCUGCAGAAUAAGCUCCGGCUAACUUCGUGCCAGCAGCCGCGGUAAUACGAAGGGGGCUAGCGUUGUUCGGAAUUACUGGGCGUAAAGGGCGCGUAGGCGGUUCCGCAAGUCAGGUGUGAAAGCCCAAGGCUCAACCUUGGAAUUGCAUUUGAUACUGCGGUACUUGAAUUCGGGAGAGGUGAGUGGAAUUCCCAGUGUAGUGGUGAAAUUCGUAGAGAUUGGGAAGAACACCCGUGGCGAAGGCGGCUCACUGGACCGACAUUGACGCUGAGGCGAGAAAGCGUGGGGAGCAAA